GGCCCACGACCCUCAUGGAGAAUACCUCUUUUCUAAUUAUUGGGUCCAGACCGUUGGUAAAUGUUCCCUCCAAAACAUCUCCUGCAAUCUCUGGUAGGGGCGCCGAUAGUUCUUCAAACUUUUGCAGAUAUUCACUCACCGAAUCUUCCUGCUUGACCGCCAAAAAUCUUGCACACGCAGUUCCAUGUUCUCUACUCCGAAAUCGAUUAUACAUCCUUUCUUUCAACUCCUUCCAGGAUCUUAACCGUUGCGGUUUUCUGUCCAUCUAAACCAACUCAAUCCCUUCCCUUCCAAGCUAAGCACGACCAUCUUCAGCUUUUCCCUUUCAUUCAAGAGAUGCAUUUGGCAGUAGUGUUCCGCCCUGUAGAACCAUCCAUCCGGAUCCUCCCCGUUAAAAACCGACAUUUCUAAUUUCUUGAACUUGAUCCUAUCCUGUCAUGCCCCUGUUUCCCCGCUCAAGGACGUCUCCCCUUCUUCCCCCUCCUCUUCGGUCGUGUCUUCAUUCCUGAGCUUCCUCUUUCCGAUGCUUAUCUCAGUCAUUUCCGAACCUCCCAGCUGUCUCUGGCGGUCCUUGUAAAUCGCCGAUAACAUGGCGUGCACCUUCUCUAAAUUUUUCUCUAGAAGUGGCAGUCUUUGGUCCUUUUGUUUAAUUGCCUCGAUCUCUGCUUCUGAAGCGGUUAAACGAUCCUCUAUCAUCUUUUGCGUCAUCUUCUUCCACCUCCUUAGAUUGUCGACUCGCUCUAAUACCAAUGUUAGGGCCCGAGAAUCCUGUUAAAAUAAUACCAGCACACACAAAGCUAACAGCUAACACAGCACAAGAACAACUUAUCACACAGUACUCUAUAACUUCAUUACAAAACGUUCUCACAAAAUAAUUACAGCCAAAUGAGAGGGUUGUUCUCUCCCAAAUGAACUAGGUUGUCCAAUAAAAACAUUCCAAACAUUCCAAUGCCUAACCCUAGCUAAAACGCUCCCCUAUAUAUAAACUCCUUUUACUGAUGCCACGUGCCCUUGGGACCACUGGCCAUUCCAACUACCAUUUUGUCUAUGCUGAAAUGCCUUUUUUACCCUUCUUCCUCUUUCUAUGAUAAACUUGGGUAGUUGGAGGCCUAGCAAUACCCCCAUGGAGAAGAGCCACCUUGUCCUCAAGGUGGACAUGGUCACUCCCAUGUGUUCUCAGUUGACAUAUGAAGGGUUGUUUGAUGAGGUGGACAUGGUCACUCCCAUGUGUUCUCAGUUGACAUAUGAAGGGUUGUUUGAUGAGUUUUUGCAUGUGAGUAAUGGUUCUGUGGAGCUUGAUUCAUCGAUCAUGGGUGCUCAACAAGAUGGAAAAAAGAUCAAGGUUCCACUUAAUUCAAGAUAUUUUCAGUUGCCCUCUGGCCUUUCUAAUCCUUGUUAUUAGCAGGCGAGGAUGAAGUUUCUGUUGUUCCUUUGAAUGAACCAUUGUCUGAUUUUACUGAUGAAGAUAUUAGAGAGUUUGCAUCUUUCAUUGGUGGAUCAUAUGUUGCCGAUGCUUCAAAAACUUUAAAUGGAGAGUUUACUGUGACUGAUGCUGUUAAGAUCAAUCUUCCUCUGUCUAAGGACUUGAAGAAUGCAAAGGCGAUUGUUGAUUGGAUAGAUUGGGCAGAGCCACAGUAUGACUUUAAUCCCAUUAUUGAUGAAUGGUGCCAAGAAGCUCCCGAAUAACUUGAUUUAUAUAUUCUAAUAAAUUUGAAUAAAUUUUGUAACCAACAGAUGGUCAGUUAAUGAUUGUGUUGGGUUGAAUGAUAUUAGUGACUAUCUUUUGUGAGAAUAUAUAUCUAAUCACACAAAUAGCAUUUUGCGUAGGACGAUACGAAUCUUUUAUGAAAAUAACAUAAAUAACAUUUUGAUGAUACAGACUCUUUCUGGAUUAUAA